rnacentral:rRNA from 1 species
CUUACGAAGGUAUGCUUAAAGAGGGGCUUGCGCCACAUUAGUUAGUUGGUAGAGUAAAAGCCUACCAAGACGAUGAUGUGUAGCUGGACUGAGAGGUUGAACAGCCACAUUGGGACUGAGACACGGCCCAAACUCCUACGGGAGGCAGCAGUAGGGAAUUUUCGGCAAUGGAGGAAACUCUGACCGAGCAACGCCGCGUGAACGAUGAAGUAUUUCGGUAUGUAAAGUUCUUUUAUUGAAGAAGAAAAAGUAGUGGAAAAACUAUAUUGACGUUAUUCAAUGAAUAAGCCCCGGCUAACUAUGUGCCAGCAGCCGCGGUAAGACAUAGGGGGCGAGCGUUAUCCGGAAUUAUUGGGCGUAAAGGGUGCGUAGGCUGUUAGAUAAGUCUAUAAUUUAAUUUCAGUGCUUAACGCUGUCUUGUUAUAGAAACUGUCUUGACUAGAGUGAGAUAGAGGCAAGCGGAAUUCCAUGUGUAGCGGUAAAAUGUGUAAAUAUAUGGAGGAACACCAGAAGCGUAGGCGGCUUGCUGGGUCUUUACUGACGCUGAGGCACGAAAGCGUGGGUAGCAAACAGGAUUAGAUACCCUGGUAGUCCACGCCGUAAACGAUGAGUACUAAGUGUCGGGGUAAAACUCGGUACUGAAGUUAACACAUUAAGUACUCCGCCUGAGUAGUACGUACGCAAGUAUGAAACUUAAAGGAAUUGACGGGACUCCGCACAAGCGGUGGAUCAUGUUGUUUAAUUCGAAGAUACACGAAAAAUCUUACCAGGUCUUGACAUACUCUGCAAAGCUAUAGAAAUAUAGUGGAGGUUAUCAGGGAUACAGGUGGUGCAUGGUUGUCGUCAGUUCGUGUCGUGAGAUGUUAGGUUAAGUCCUAAAACGAACGCAACCCUUGUCGUUAAUUGCCAGCACAUAAUGGUGGGGACUUUAACGAGACUGCCAAUUAAACAUUGGAGGAAGGUGAGGAUUACGUCAAAUCAUCAUGCCCCUUAUGAUCUGGGCU